CUGUCUUAAUCUGAACAGGAAGGAAACCUAGUUUUCAACAUAACAACAGCUUGUGUGAAGCUGUCACUUUCAGGGUGUGCGCCACCCAGUGUUCAUUUGUUAACAUCAAUAAUGUGUGACCACGAAAGGAAACCCUUCUGAAGAUCGAAGAUCCUGCUCGCAGCUAUGCCUCAUUGCCUACCAUGGCCAAAACCUCUUUGAGGUUUACCGUAGUGUUCUCCGUCUGAUUGUUAUGUGUUGAGGAUGAGCUGAAUGUUACUGAUAUUGAUACCUGAUAUCUAAUUGUGGUCAAUGUUUAGUGUAAUACUGUGACAUCUUCCAAUGCCAAAGUUUAUUUCCAACGAGCCAAAGCUUAUUUGCAUUGCAAUUACGAGCGGUAGUGUGAUGUGUGGAACGUGUAGUAAGUACCAUUGGGAACCACUUACUCUGUAACCCAAAGUGGCAUGUUUGCAUAUAUGAGAAUGUUCAGUGUUCAUCGUCUUUAGAUAAUAAAAGCAUUGGCAUACCAGGAA